rnacentral:rRNA from 1 species
CGCGUAGAGCUAUAGAUUUUAAUUGAAUGCUAAGAGAAUGGAAUUUCAGAAAAAAACUUUUUUCAAGUUAAAAAUUGAAAUUUUUUUAAUUUGUGCAGAAACAAUUAUUAAUAUUAAGGACAAGAAGACCCUAUGAAUUUAUAAAUUUUAUUUAAUAUGUAACUACUAUUAAAAAAAAUUUUGCUGGGGGGGGGGGAAAAAUUUUUAAAAUUUUUUAAAAAUAAAUGGAUCCUUUUUUAAGGAUUUAUGGUUAAAACCCCAAGGGAAACCACCUA